rnacentral:rRNA from 1 species
UACGGAGGGUGCAAACGUUGCUCGGAAUUACUGGGCGUAAAGCGUGCGUAGGCGGUUCGUUAAGUCUGUUGUGAAAGCCCCGGGCUCAACCUGGGAAUGGCAAUGGAUACUGGCGAGCUAGAGUGUGUCAGAGGAUGGUGGAAUUCCCGGUGUAGCGGUGAAAUGCGUAGAGAUCGGGAGGAACAUCAGUGGCGAAGGCGGCCAUCUGGGACAACACUGACGCUGAGGCACGAAAGCGUGGGGAGCAAACAGG